UACCCUCCCUCCAUCUGAUGGCCCUUGGGGACACCCCCAUCAUGGUGCUCGCCAGGAGACGGGGAGAGUUUCAAGCCUCAAAAGAUCGAGCUGCAACCGUUGCUGUUGGAUCUCCGCGGCUGGCUGCGAUGAAUCCGAGCCGGCAGGGCCCAUUUGUAAGCAAUUUACCUCAAGAAUUUGGCAGUCGAAAUCCAAGCAGCUUUACUGGGCGAGUAAGUCACGCUGCGUGUUUCCGCGUCGCCUGUGGAUGAACGCGACUUGUUGAGUGAGGAGAGUUUCUGUCUUCCCGAGGAUCCCGGCGCUGGCGUGGCAGGCAGACGUGGGAACGGGCAUCAGAGGAACCCCUCUGCCCAGGGCAGCCGUCUGAUGUCUUCUCCUGUCUCCCAGACCAACAAACCCUCCUCUGGAAGGACUCUGGGGCAGCAGGAAUAUUUUGAUCAUGAAGACUUAAAUAUGUUUUCUGAUGUUUUGGAACGAGGACGGAGCUGUGGCUGUGGCUACUCCCACCACCCGCCUGUCCUCCUCCGAACGACUCCGCCGGGAUCAAAGCCUGCCUGAACCUUUUCCAUAUGCCCUGCUCCUCUCUGCCGGGCCCCUCGGCCAGGUGGCUUUUCCCAGCCUUUUCACAGACCUCCCACUUCUAAAAGAAACGCAAUAAAGCUGGGCCAGAGAAGCAAUUAGGAAGCAGCUCCCUCAUCACACCUUCUCGUGGGCUGUCCUAGGAAGGAGCGACGAAACCCAGCGAGCAUGGCACGGGGCUCGGUGUUUGGGUGACCUUCACCCGGCUGGCUGUGCCACACCAUCCGCGUACGUGCCACACCACGGGCCACAUCCUCGCCACCACGGGUGAUGUGGGUGUUUGCAGCGGUGGAGCUUUUUCUGGCCACGAAAGGUUUUUUUGGUCGA